GAUGAACGCUGGCGGCGUGCCUAAUACAUGCAAGUCGAGCGAACAGACGAUGAGCUUGCUCCUCUGACGUUAGCGGCGGGCGUGUGUGUAACACGUGGAUAACCUACCUAUCUGACUGGGAUAACUUCGGGAAACCGGAGCUAAUACCGGAUAAUAUAUUGAACCACGUGGUUCAUUAGUGAAAGACGGUGUUUCUGUCACUUAUAGAUGGAUCUGCGCCGUAUUAGAUAGUUGUGCAGGUAACGGGUUACCAAGGCAACGAUGCGUUGCCGAACUGAGAGAGUGAUAGGCCACCCGGGAGCUGAGCCACGCUCAAGGCGCCUGAGAGAGGCAGCAGAAGGGAAUCUGCCGCAGUGGGCGAAAGCAUGGCGGAGCAACGGCGAGUGAGUGAUGAAGGCGUCCGGAUCGUAAAACCCGGUUAUGAGGGAAGAACAAAUGUGUAAGUAACCAUGCCCGUCUUGACGGUACCGAAUAAGAAAGCCACGGCUAACUACGUG
rnacentral:rRNA from 1 species